AUUGAACGCUGGCGGCAUGCCUUACACAUGCAAGUCGAACGGCAGCACGGGAGCAAUCCUGGUGGCGAGUGGCGAACGGGUGAGUAAAGUAUCGGAACGUGCCCAGUCGUGGGGGAUAACGUAGCGAAAGUUACGCUAAUACCGCAUACGAUCUAUGGAUGAAAGCGGGGGAUCGCAAGACCUCGCGCGAUUGGAGCGGCCGAUAUCGGAUUAGGUAGUUGGUGGGGUAAAGGCUCACCAAGCCGACGAUCUGUAGCUGGUCUGAGAGGACGACCAGCCACACUGGGACUGAGACACGGCCCAGACUCCUACGGGAGGCAGCAGUGGGGAAUUUUGGACAAUGGGCGAAAGCCUGAUCCAGCCAUGCCGCGUGCAGGAUGAAGGCCUUCGGGUUGUAAACUGCUUUUGUACGGAACGAAAAGGUUUGGCCUAAUAAGCUGAGCUCAUGACGGUACCGUAAGAAUAAGCACCGGCUAACUACGUGCCAGCAGCCGCUGUAA
rnacentral:rRNA from 1 species